rnacentral:rRNA from 1 species
AGUGAACGCUGGCGGUAGACCUAACACAUGCAAGUCGAACGGCAGCACAGUAAGAGCUUGCUCUUACGGGUGGCGAGUGGCGGACGGGUGAGGAAUACAUCGGAAUCUACUUUUUCGUGGGGGAUAACGUAGGGAAACUUACGCUAAUACCGCAUACGACCUACGGGUGAAAGCAGGGGAUCUUCGGACCUUGCGCGAUUGAAUGAGCCGAUGUCGGAUUAGCUAGUUGGCGGGGUAAAGGCCCACCAAGGCGACGAUCCGUAGCUGGUCUGAGAGGAUGAUCAGCCACACUGGAACUGAGACACGGUCCAGACUCCUACGGGAGGCAGCAGUGGGGAAUAUUGGACAAUGGGCGCAAGCCUGAUCCAGCCAUACCGCGUGGGUGAAGAAGGCCUUCGGGUUGUAAAGCCCUUUUGUUGGGAAAGAAAAGCAGCAGGUUAAUACCCCGCUGUUCUGACGGUACCCAAAGAAUAAGCACCGGCCAACUUCGUG